ACUUUAUAUCAGUGACCAAAACUCU
rnacentral:piRNA from 1 species